rnacentral:rRNA from 1 species
CCUACGGGAGGCAGCAGUGGGGAAUUUUGGACAAUGGGCGAAAGCCUGAUCCAGCAAUGCCGCGUGAGUGAAGAAGGCCUUCGGGUUGUAAAGCUCUUUUGUCAGGGAAGAAACGGUGUGGGCUAAUAUCCCGCACUAAUGACGGUACCUGAAGAAUAAGCACCGGCUAACUACGUGCCAGCAGCCGCGGUAAUACGUAGGGUGCAAGCGUUAAUCGGAAUUACUGGGCGUAAAGCGUGCGCAGGCGGUUUUUGUAAGUCUGUCGUGAAAGCCCCGGGCUCAACCUGGGAAUUGCGAUGGAGACUGCAAGGCUUGAAUCUGGCAGAGGGGGGUAGAAUUCCACGUGUAGCAGUGAAAUGCGUAGAGAUGUGGAGGAACCACCGAUGGCGAAGGCAGCCCCCGUGGGUCAAGAUUGACGCUCAUGCACGAAAGUCGUGGGGAGCAAACAGGUAUUAGACUACCCUGGUAGUCCACGCCCUAAACGAUGUCUACUAGUUGGUUACGGGUUUUAAACUUAACGUUAGGUAACCGCGUACGACGUAACCGUACGGUACGGUAAGGUAACGGACCGUACCCGGUACGGGGUACGGGUUACGGGUUACCGGUACGAACGAACGUUAAACCGUUAACCGUAAACGGUAAAGUUAAGUACGGUACGUAGAGACGUACGACCGACGGACGACGACGACGGGAGGAGG